CAAGGUGAGGGCUACAUGGCUGUGAAAUCUAUCACCCCAAUACUCACCAGAGUUGAUUCAGAUGAUCUGGCUGGCUAGGCAGGUGUCCCCUUCCUCCCUGACUGCUCCAUGGGCAUCCCUCUGCAAGCAGUGUGCUCAGUGGAAGGAUCAACUUCCCAGAUAAGGGAUAACUGACUGUUCUUUAGUCAAGGGUAUACCAAAAGCUGUACUCUCCUGCUGGAAACUCCAAACAAACUCUCCAGUUGGGGCAGCUAGACUCAAAGACAGCUCUAAACCUCUUGUUAUUCACAAUCUUGU
rnacentral:snRNA from 1 species